CCAUUCCCCCUCCCCCCCAAAACCCAAAAUCCCCAAUUUGUUCAGUCUUUGAUGGGGCAACCAGGCAAAGAAAAGAGAGAGAGAGAGAGAGAGAGAAAAGAUCAUCGAUCUCGUGGAUCAUCGAUCUCGUCUCCUUCCCGCCCUCUCUCUCUCUCUCUCUUAUUCAUCCUCUUCAAACCCUAAUUUCUGCCUCCGAUCCACCUCUCGUCGUUCAAUCUUCCACCCCUUGUUUCUCGUUGUGUUUGGGAAUCUAGGAUUUUUUUUCUGUGAAACCCUAAGAAUUAAUUGAAGAGGAAGGGAGGGAGGGAGAGAGAGAGGUUUGAUGGCGCAAAAUGGGCAGGGGAUGGACCCUGCCGUUCUUGAUGACAUCAUUAAUCGGCUUUUGGAGUUUCGGCAGGUGAGGAGUGUACGCCAGGUCCAGGUCCAGCUCUCCAAGGCUGAGAUCCAUCAGCUUUGCACCGUUUCGAGAGAAAUCUUCCUCCAACAACCCAAUCUCUUAGAGCUCGAAGCCCCCAUCAAGAUCUGCGGAUUUAAAGGAGUUGUGGAUAACGUUGGGGACAAGUUGUGGAUAAGCCCUACUGGCAAAUGCUACUUCCUUUUUCCUAUGCCAUUGUAUCUGGUGCUGUAGGAUCAUGCUCGGUGUUGUUUGCAAAAUCCCUGUUGUGGGUUUCAAACAAAGCAGAGAUACAGAUUUGGGUGGUUCAGCAUGAAGCUCAAGUUGGUGGGAGGUGACUCUGCUGGUGUUGUGACAGCUUAUUAUGAGGCACCAGCUUUGGUUUGAUCCCACUGAGGACUUUCACUCCUAUUCUAUCCUCUGGAAUUCUCACCAGAUUCUCAUUUAAUAAGUUCACAGGGCAGCCGUACCUCAUUCAGACCAACGUUUACAAGAAUGGAACUGGAAACCGAGAGAUGAGGCACCAGCUUUGGUUUGAUCCCACUGAGGACUUUCACUCCUAUUCUAUCCUCUGGAAUUCUCACCAGAUUCUUUUCGUAGAUCUUGCUGGGUUCAAAGCAUGGAAACAACAUUUCCAUACAUGGUGGAUGGUACUCGUGCACACACACGCCUUUCCCACUCCCACCAGACAUGAAAAAAUUCCCCAGGUAUAUUACAAUAAGAGUUUAUUACACUAUUUUGGACUACAUUGA